rnacentral:rRNA from 1 species
UACAGAGGGGGCAAGCGUUGUCCGGACUUACUGGGUGUAAAGCGCAUGCAGGUGGCUGUGCAAGUAUGCUGUGAAAGCCCCGUGCUUAACACGGGGAGGCCAGUAUAGACUGCACGGCUCGAGGACUGCAGAGGGUAGGGGAAUUGCUGGUGUAGUGGUGAAAUGCGUAGAGAUCCGGAGGAACACCAGAGGCGAAGGCGGCCUACUGGGUCAGUACUGACGCUGAGCCGCGAAAGCCAGGGGAGCGAACGGG